UACGUAGGGCGCAAGCGUUGUCCGGAAUUAUUGGGCGUAAAGAGCUCGUAGGCGGUCUGUCGCGUCGGUUGUGAAAACCCAAGGCUCAACCUUGGGCCUGCAAUCGAUUCGGGCAGACUAGAGUACUGCAGGGGAGACUGGAAUUCCUGGUGUAGCGGUGGAAUGCGCAGAUAUCAGGAGGAACACCGGUGGCGAAGGCGGGUCUCUGGGCAGUAACUGACGCUGAGGAGCGAAAGCGUGGGGAGCGAACAGG
rnacentral:rRNA from 1 species